rnacentral:rRNA from 1 species
GAUGAACGCUGGCGGCGUGCCUAAUACAUGCAAGUCGAGCGAACAGACGAGGAGCUUGCUCCUCUGACGUUAGCGGCGGACGGGUGAGUAACACGUGGAUAACCUACCUAUAAGACUGGGAUAACUUCGGGAAACCGGAGCUAAUACCGGAUAAUAUAUUGAACCGCAUGGUUCAAUAGUGAAAGACGGUUUUGCUGUCACUUAUAGAUGGAUCCGCGCCGCAUUAGCUAGUUGGUAAGGUAACGGCUUACCAAGGCAACGAUGCGUAGCCGACCUGAGAGGGUGAUCGCCCACACUAGAACUGAGAGACGGUCCAGACUCCGACGGGAGGCAGCAGUAGGGAAUGUUCCGCAAUGGGCGAAAGCCUGACGGAGCAACGCGGCGUGAGUGAUGAAGGUCUUCGGAUCGUAAAACUCUGUUAUUAGGGAAGAACAAAUGUGUAAGUAACUAUGCACGUCUUGACGGUACCUAAGCAGAAAGCAACGGCUAACUACGUG